AGCGUUGUCCGGAAUUCUUGGGCGUAAAGAGCUCGUAGGCGGUGUGUCGCGUCGGCCGUGAAAACCUGCAGCUUAACUGUGGGCGUGCGGUCGAUACGGGCAUCACUGGAGUUCGGCAGGGGAGACUGGAAUUCCUGGUGUAGCGGUGAAAGGCGCAGAUAUCAGGAGGAACAUCCGUGGCGAAGGCGGCUCUCUGGGACGGUACUGACGCUGAGACGCGAAAGCGUGGGGAGCGAACAGG
rnacentral:rRNA from 1 species